rnacentral:rRNA from 1 species
UACGUAGGGACCGAGCGUUGUCCGGAAUUACUGGGCGUAAAGCGCGUGUAGGCGGCCCUGCAAGUCGGGUGUGAGAUCCCACGGCUCAACCGUGGAAGUGCAUUCGAAACUGCAGGGCUAGAGUCCUGGAGAGGAAGGUGGAAUGCUUGGUGUAGAGGUGAAGUUCGUAGAUAUCAAGCGGAACACCGGUGGCGAAGGCGGCCUUCUGGACAGUGACUGACACUGAGGCGCGACAGCGUGGGGAGCGAACCGG